UGUAGAUGAAUAACAGAUUGUCUGCAGCUUGCACCCCUCUGGAGUGCGCUCUGAAACACUGGAACUGCUUUAACCUCAGGAAUUUGAAGAGAAAAGUGACUCAUUUUAUUUUGCACAAAGGAAUCGACACAACCAGCAGAAACCCACCCAAGCCCAGGAAAUAGGAUCACCUCGAUUUAACUCAGGAAAUUUGGUUUUAUUUUGUGCCAGGCGUCAUAGCAGCCUCCAGACAAAGCCAUGUGAGCAAGACAACACCGGCCAG